GCCAGCGUGGCACAAUCCGGUACUGCGGCGGUCUCGAAAACCGCUGUCCGCAAGGACUUCCCAGUUCAAAUCUGGGCGCUGGCG
rnacentral:tRNA from 1 species